UACGAAGGGGGCUAGCGUUGCUCGGAAUUACUGGGCGUAAAGGGCGCGUAGGCGGACAGUUAAGUCAGAGGUGAAAGCCCAGGGCUCAACCCUGGAAUAGCCUUUGAUACUGGCUGUCUUGAGUGCGGGAGAGGUGUGUGGAACUCCGAGUGUAGAGGUGAAAGUUUGUAAGAUAUUCGGAAGAACACCAGUGGCGAAGGCGACACACUGGCCCGUAACUGACGCUGAGGCGCGAAAGCGUGGGGAGCAAACAGG
rnacentral:rRNA from 1 species